UACGAAGGGGGCUAGCGUUGCUCGGAAUUACUGGGCGUAAAGCGCACGUAGGCGGCUUCUUAAGUCGGAGGUGAAAUCCUGGAGCUCAACUCCAGAACUGCCUUCGAUACUGGGAAGCUCGAGUCCGGGAGAGGUGAGUGGAACUGCGAGUGUAGAGGUGAAAUUCGUAGAUAUUCGCAAGAACACCAGUGGCGAAGGCGGCUCACUGGACACAUAUUGACGCUGAGGUGCGAAAGCGUGGGGAGCAAACAGG
rnacentral:rRNA from 1 species